rnacentral:rRNA from 1 species
CAGCAGCCGCGGGAAAACGGAGGGUGCAAGCGUUAAUCGGAAUUACUGGGCGUAAAGCGCACGCAGGCGGUCUGACAAGUCAGAUGUGAAAUCCCCGGGCUUAACCUGGGAACUGCAUUUGAAACUGUCAGGCUGGAGUCUUGUAGAGGGGGGUGGAAUUCCAGGUGUAGCGGUGAAAUGCGUAGAGAUCUGGAGGAAUACCGGUGGCGAAGGCGGCCUUCUGGACAAAGACUGACGCUCAGGUGCGAAAGCGUGGGGAGCAAACAGGAUUAGAUACCCGAGUAGUCCCUGUCUCUUAUAC